UUUUGGACAAUGGGCGCAAGCCUGAUCCAGCCAUUCCGCGUGAGUGAAGAAGGCCUUCGGGUUGUAAAGCUCUUUCGCAAGGGAACAAAACUUACUUUCUAAUAAAGAGUGAGGUUGACGGUACCUUGAUAAGAAGCACCGGCUAACUACGUGCCAGCAGCCGCGGUAAUACGUAGGGUGCGAGCGUUAAUCGGAAUUACUGGGCGUAAAGCGUGCGCAGGCGGCUUUGUAAGUCAGAUGUGAAAUCCCCGAGCUCAACUUGGGAACUGCGUUUGAAACUACAAGGCUAGAAUAUGUCAGAGGGGGGUAGAAUUCCACGUGUAGCAGUGAAAUGCGUAGAGAUGUGGAGGAAUACCAAUGGCGAAGGCAGCCCCCUGGGAGUGAUAUUGACGCUCAUGCACGAAG
rnacentral:rRNA from 1 species